UCGGACGUGGUGUACAGAACACCGCCGGGUAUUGUGAAGAGGAUGAAAACGUGUAACUGGCAGUCCGGGGUUCGACUCCCCGCGUCCGAA